UGAUUUCCACAAGUUCAACAAACUCUUCUCCCUAAAACAUUAUUUUCACCACUAAUUUUGUAAUACUUACGUGUUGUAUUCGUGAUUUUUCUACAUCAAAAAUUAACCACAGUGGAAAAAAUGUUUAAAGUAGUGUUCUAAAAUGAACGUAUAUAAUUAUUUGAAAAAGUUAUUCGUUUAUGAAAAUUGUUCGCGAUAAGAAUUCCUAAAGUACAUUAUUUAUUUUCAAAUAGUUAACUUUCUUUUUUGAGUGUCGUUAGUUUGAAAAAUCAAGAUGCCAUCGGAAGAAUCAUUUUGUGGAGCCACAUUAGAGAAUGUUCGAAUUCAUUAUUUUUUAAACCUGCAAGGUUUAAUAGACAUACCAAUAUGCAUAAUUGGCGUAAUCUUCAACAUGUUCAACAUGCUGGUGUUCACAAGGAGGAACAUGAUAUCACCUGUGAACCUAAUCUUCACGCAUUUGGCGUUUGCAAAUUUAUCAGAGCUGUUAGCGUUUAUAACCUCCACAUGGGCAUACUUGGCAUAUCACAGUAAGCAAAGCACUUACGAAGACUGGACUUAUACACGAGCAUUUAUUUUAAUGUUAAGCACAGAAUUGACAAGUUUUUUUAACCGCAUAUCUGCGUAUAUUGUAAUGAUGCUAGUAAUAUGGAAGUAUAUAGCUGUAUUUUAUCCAUCGAAGAAAUCUCAAUGGUGCAAUAUGAAAACUACACGCAAUAUGGUGGUAUCUGGUUACAUCGUAUGCAUCUUGCUUUAUGUACCGGAGUAUUUGUCACAUUAUAUUAAAACACACAUCAUGCAUCCGACGACAACAGUUUACUUUAGUAUUGAAACUCAUUCCAUCAUGUACUCUGCGCCUCAAUUCAUCAAAAUAGUGUUGCAUGAAUUAUUACCAUCACUUGUGCUACUAAUAUUAGGCGUUAGAUUGAUCGCCUCACUGUGGAUGAAAAAAGAACACUCAAGUACUUCUUCAAACGUUGAAAACCGCACAGACAAUUUCGAAAUGAAGCAACGAACCUAUCGAUCGAUAAUCAUAUCGUUGGUGAUUGUGGCUCAAUGUUUAAGUGUCGAGAUUCCAACAGGAUUACUCGACCUAGUACAUAGAGUGUUUAUACGCGAUUAUUAUUCAAUUCAUUACGAAUGUGUUACUAGCUUCAAAGUAAUACUCUAUCUUUUAGAUUGCGUUAAUAAAUCUAUUAAGUUUAUAGUAUAUUUCGCCAUGGAUCAAGAUUUUAGAGCCACAUUCAAAUCUUUGUUCAACAAAAACAAUGCUUUUUUUUGGAAACUGAAGUAUGUUCCUUUGAGCAGUAAGAGAGGGAAUGAUGAAAGCUUGGAAAUAGAUCAAAUUUAACACAGGUAGAAAAUUUAGAGAAAUGCGUUAUAUUUAGGAUGAAAAAUGAGGGUGAUAACUGAUAACACAGGGGAAAAUGAUUGGGUCCAUGAAUUUCAUGGAUCUAAUUUUACAUGACCACAUUGGAUCAGAUCUGAUCAGAUCCUGAGACAAUACCCAGAUCCCUGACAAGAUUGGAUUAGACCUGUGCAGAUCUGACCAGGUCCAAUCAUGUUCUCCUAGGAAGGUUUAUUUUAAAUGUCCAUAGUAUUUUUCAUUCAAAAGAUUAGGUUUUGGUGCUGAAAAAUAGCUUACUAGAUUAAGCAAGGUUAGGUACUGUUUCAUGUACAUAUUUGUAUUUAUCAAAAACUUAUGUAUGUAUUUAUCAUUCAAAAUAUUCUCGAAGUGAAAAUAUUUAUACAAGUAUGUAAAUUGAGUCUUUAUGUAAUUGUUCGGUAUAAAAACCAGUAACGUAAACUACCAGUUAUGGACCACUUUUUUACAAUUAAUCGCCAAAAAAUCAUUUGAGUACCUUAGAGUCAAAACCCAGCAACUAUCUAUGUAUUUCAACUAAGUAUCUCUGUAUUUCACAACUAGCUAUGUAUAUCAACUAUCUAUGUAUUUCAUGAAGAGUAACAUGUGUCUCCUCAAUAAUGUGCUCUUAAAAACUUUUAAUACUUUA